CGGAUGGAACUAGAAGAAACCAUCCUGAGUGAGGUGACCCAGUCAAAAACAGACAAACAUGAGCCCUCAUCCAGUGGCUGAUGGAAGCAGAGGCAGACACCCACAGCUAAACACCAUGCUUAACUCUGGAACCCAAAGGCACAGAGGAAGGAGUGAAGAGCAACAAGGUCAAGACCAGGCUGGUGAAACCCACAGAAACAGCUAACCUGAACAAGGAGGAGUGCGUGGACCCCAGACUGAUGUCAGGGAGGCCAGCACAGAACUUAUACAGACCCCUGAAUUGUGGAUGUAAAUGAGGAGGCCUCGGCAUUCUAUGGGACCUCUGGCAGAAGGAAUCUCUGAAGACACCCACUCUACUGGAGGCCAUGCUGGUAUUAAGAACCCCAGAUUUGUGCCUAGCCCAUGUGUCUUCAGAGAGACUUCAUCCAGAAACUGAUGGAAAUAGAGGUGGAGACCCACAGUCAAACAUUAGGUCGAGCACAGGAAAUCCUAUGGAAGAGGUGGAAGAUGGAUUGUAGGAGCUAAUGCUGUCAAGAACAUCACAAGAAAACCCACAGAAUCAACUAACCUGGGAUCAUAGGAGCUCAUAGAGACUGAAUCCAUAACCAGGGAUCUGCAUGGGCCAGAGCUAGGCCCUCUGCAUAUAUGUGACAGUUGUAUAGCUUGGUCUCUUGUAGGAUUGCUAACAGUGAAAACAGGAGCUAUACUUAAUGCUUUGGUUGGCUUUUGGGAUCCUAUUCCUCAUACUGGGUUGCCUUAUACAGCCUUAAUACAAGGGGAGGUGCUUAGUCUUACUGCAACUUGGCACACCAAACUUUUCUGACAUCCAUUGGAGGCCUGCCCUUUUUGAGUAGAAACAGAGGAGGACUGAAUGGGAGAGGGGCAGAGGGGAGUUUUAUGGUAGGGACUGGUAGGAGAGGAGGGAGGGGAAACUGAGGUUGGGAUGUAAAAUAAAGGAAUGAAUUAGCUAAAAACUUGUUUGAAGUGACACUAGCCCACUGAAGCAUGUGGCUGUGGCAGGCCUUGCUCUUCUCUCCCCAUUCCUUCUGCCUUGCUAAAAAACAAACAAACAAAACAAAACAAAAAGUUAGAUUAUAUCCCUAAAGUUAGCCACCAAGGUCUAUUCCCUUAUUUGGCCACUACCUCCUCCUGAGGUUGACUACCAAAGUCCAGCAAUCGGAAUCCCCCUUCUUACCUAAGUAACAUGCCCAAUUAAAACUAAACACCUCAUCCUAACUGAGGGUUUCCUAUGUGCCUAUGUGCCAUAUCUGUCUCCUCUGUUAUCCACAGGCAGUCCUUUGUCCCUCAUGGAACAAAUAGCUCUGUCCUCUUUCUGUUGUCCCCUUCCCCUCUCCCUCUCCCCUGUGUUCUUUACCACCACUUCCGAGCCCAUUUUCACACAGACCUCCCCUUUUCCCCCUCUUGAGAAUUACACUGCAAGGCCAUUUGCUGCUAUUUUCUGCCUGAGUCAGAAAGCAGCCACUUUUGCUUUGCUUCACCACUUAAAGGAUCUCUCUGUGAAAACGGGUGUUUUGGCUGUGGUUUGUGCCUAACCCAGGGUCCAAGAAGGAGGCUCUGCUGUGUGGGAGUCCCUUUCAGAGUUGCCAUGGUAAUAUUGUCUCUUCACAGCAAUAAAACAGUGACCAAGACACUCAUGAUCCUCCUGCUCUACCUUCAUGAGUCCUGGGAUUACAAGUAUGUACAGACUCAGUUGUAACUUUACAUUCUAAGCCUCACAAUGUAUCCACAUAGCCUCUAGUCAACUAGACCUAUUCAGAUAUGGAAAGUCCUUGGCUUCAGAAUCAUUUGCCUUGUUUUAUGCCCUAAAGCAUCACUAUCCUGACUACUGCAUAAUUUAUUUUUAAAUCAAUAACAGCUGUGUUGUCAACAAUAUACACCUAUCUGUAAUCACAUCUUUAAUAGUUUACAGCAGGAAAGAGUUUCCAAUCUUAUGAACAACUAAAUAUCUUUUUAGAAACUCUUCAGGAAUAAUUAUCCAAAUUAAACUUACUUUGACCAUUUUCAUGCAGAAUCAACAAUUACAUGUAAGAUGAACACACACAUACACACACUCACUCACACACACUCACACACUCAUUUCCACUAAUAGUCACUGACUAUAUAUAGCUUUCAUCUUCUGCUGUAUACUUGUGUACUUACUGGGUUCCUUUGAAACUAAGGAGCCAGAGAGGUUGGUACGCUCCUGUAUUCCCAUAACUGUAGAGGUUGAGACAGAAGGAUCCCAAGUUUCAGGCCAGCACAUACUACAUGGUGAGUUCUAAGCCACCCCUAGGUUACUAGAGGUUACUAGUUAGACCUGACCUUGUUUAUGAAAACAAAGCAAAAAAAAAACAUAAUUGAUGCUUCCUUCAUUGCUUUACUUUUCUUGGUAUCUGGAAACGACUGUUACAAAUAUUAAAUUCACAUAUAUAAAUUGUCAGUUUACCCUGUACAGACUUUUACUUUGGAAAAUAUAGUAUAAUUUUUGUGUUGAAUUAUUGUUUUCUUGUUGUAUAAUUUUUUAUUUUUAUUUUUUUCUACUUUUGAUUUUGAGACUGACUUUCAUUAUGUGCUCUGGCUGACCUGGAACUCACUAUGUAGACCAGACUAGCCUUGAACGUACAAUUUUGUUUUCUGAGUACUGGAAUUAAAAGGCUCAUGCUACUA